UUGGAAGGACAAUUGGAAGUGGAGCCCAAGACUUGAAGGCCUCCUCUCUCCCUCUGUAGGACCCUUGAUUUUGGGGGACAUCAGCCCUGAGUGAGCAUUUCUAUCAUCAAACUGGGACUUAAGAGGACACCUCUGGAACAGAACCAAAAAGAAUUUGGAACACGUGCUGAACGUGUCUUAGCCUGGGGAGCAGUAAGUACCAGGAUUUACCCAACAGCCGAAGCAAGAAAAAUGGGAGUCAACCCAGAAUGCGUGCUUUCUCUCUACUCCCUCCUCCAGUCGGUCAUCAAGUUCUGUCAACCUUACUCCUAAAUAUCUCCUGUUCCUCCUUCUAACUC